rnacentral:rRNA from 1 species
GACGAACGCUGGCGGCGUGCUUAACACAUGCAAGUCGAACGGAAAGGCCCUGCUUUUGUGGGGUGCUCGAGUGGCGAACGGGUGAGUAACACGUGAGUAACCUGCCCUUGACUUUGGGAUAACUUCAGGAAACUGGGGCUAAUACCGGAUAGGAGCUCCUGCUGCAUGGUGGGGGUUGGAAAGUUUCGGCGGUUGGGGAUGGACUCGCGGCUUAUCAGCUUGUUGGUGGGGUAGUGGCUUACCAAGGCUUUGACGGGUAGCCGGCCUGAGAGGGUGACCGGCCACAUGGGGACUGAGAUACGGCCCAGACGCCUACGGGAGGAAGGAGUGGGGAAUAUUGCACAAUGGGCGGAAGCCUGAUGCAGCAACGCCGCGUGCGGGAUGACGGCCUUCGGGUUGGAAACCGCUUUCGCCUGUGACGAAGCGUGAGGGACGGUAAUGGGUAAAGAAGCACCGGCUAACUACGU